GAAUUUAGGGGGUGUUCAAUACUUCGUACCUGGGCACCUCAGUAGCCUAACGUGGUUUCUUCACUCCUUGCUCUCUAAUUUCCACUGGACAUGGCACAGUACUGUAUCUUCUAUUGUCAGCUGUGAAAGGAAAUUGACACCCACCUGAGAGUGGCCAAAACAGUCCAUGUGCCACACCUGUGCCUGGCUAAAGCCUGGCCUAGCCCCUGACCCUGCCCUUCCAAGAGCUUUAUACAAGAUCGGUUGCAGAUGGAAAGAAGGGAAUUCUAGAAAAGGCUUAUCAGGUGGCAAAGGGCUGUCUCAUAUACAAGCAACUGUGACCUACUGAGAAUGAAGCUGAAAUAGACACUUUGCUCUAAGCCCAGACUAAUGAACAACAAGAGAGAACUGAAAGCAUGACCUUCGGGGUGGGGUGGGUGGGAAAGAAGUUGGAGGUGGAGGCAGAGAUCAGCUGGCUAGGAAUCCUUCCUAACUCCACAAUUCUUUUGGUUUAUUCUGUGUCUCUUCGGAGACAAAAGUGAGUAGAUAAUUACAGGGAACUGAAAUGUCUGCUAUAUCUCAGAGUAGGCUAGUAGCCCCAAGAAAGAGAAGGCACCUCUAUCCAGGCUGUGUUUUCGAUUUAGCCAGAGAAGUGAGGAUGAGGAUCAAGACAGUGAAUUGCAAGAACUGGAAAUUCUGGGAGAAAACACUCUCUCUCUCUCUCUCUCUCUCUCCCGUCUCCCCAGUCAGCACUUGCAUGUCCAUACACAGUUAUGGGCUCCCUUGGAUCAUGCAAUUGAUUCCGCCUCAUCCAGACAUAAAGUGAGCACGUACCACCACCCACCUGCGAGGCAGAAACUGUGGGAAGACACCUGGCUGCCUAAACCUCAUGCUGCCUAACACCCUCUCCCCAGAGAUCAAAGACAUGUCUCCAAUAACUGUUGGGAGAAGGCAGAGGAAGCAGUGAUAUUAGGAAAUGACUUAAUCUGCAACAAAGAUAUAAAAAGGAUGAAGAGGAGGAGGAAGAGGAAGAGGAGUUCGUCUUGCUGUCUUGGGGUAGCAGAGGCAGAAAAAAAAAUCCACCUAUAAGUGAACCUGUUGUUGUUUAAGGAUAAAUUGUGUAUUUUAUUUUUCUCUAGGUCUUUUUAAAAAAUAGGACUACAUCUUUUGUCAAAGAACAAGAACGUGAGCAAACCAAGAGUGCUCAUUAUCAAAACUAUAGGUCAAAAAACACUGUGGGGUUUUUGUGAAACACAAGGGUGUUAAAUGCAUUGUUUUUAACUUACAUAAUUCAUUUUCUUGUUAUAGAGGAGAAAAUUCUGUUGCAUAUACAUAGUAAACAGUUCUAAAAUGAUAUAGCUCUAUGAAGAAAAGACUGUUUGAAACAAUUUUUCCUCUAAGGACUGACAUCCAAUGAAACAAUAAAGAGCAAAGGACAUUAGUCAUAAAUAGACCUCCCUAUUCUGCAGUGAUGUGAUCUUUCAAGAGGUUUAAAAAAAAUAUGUUGCAAUCCUGUUAAUUGGGUUCCUCAGCUCUGAUUAUCAGUCUCAUUUGAUUAUUAACCUAAUUGCUAUCUAAAUCAAGGAAAGCUAUUCAGUGAUUGCUUCUUGAUUUUUAAAAAGUAUUCUGACUGGUUAAUGUAACAUCUUAUUUAUUUUGUGUCUUAAGCAGUGCCUACUCUACUUUUGUUUUGAUUCAACUUGAAAAUAUAAUUUAUUAGUAAAGACACUGAAAUUAACAGUCUAUUAGCAUUAUAUGUAUGGGUCAAGUUGGGCUGUGAUGAAAUUCAUAAGAACUCAGAAAAACAAUGAGUCAUCAAAAGAGAUUUGAUUCCAUGGGGGGUAAUUUGGGAUUACUCUAUUAUAAUCGAAUUUCAAAAGCAGAGAAGCUCUUGAUAUAGGAUAAAUCCUCUAUAGGUAUGGAAAACUGUGGUUUAGUAUUAAAUGCGCACUAUUUGGCAGGUGUUGCGCUGGUGGGAUCAGGUAAGGUACCUCAUUUCAUUCUCACAGCAAAUCAAAUGGAAAAACUGGGGUUCAUAAAGCAAAAUGAUUUGCUGUCUAGGUAGGCUAACUUAGGGCCUGAAUUUGUUUUUCUGCUUUCUAAUACAAUCAUGUGUUAUUUAAUGAUGGCGAUACAUUCUAAGAAAUGUAUCCUCAGGGGAUUUUGUCCUUGUGUGAACAUCAUGGAGUGAAUUUUCACAAACCUAGACAAUAUAUAGCCUAGUAUACACCUAAACUAUAUGGUACAGCUUAUUGCUUUUAGGCUACAAACCUGUACAGUGUGUUAUUGUACUGAAUGCUGUAGGCAGUUAGAAC